rnacentral:rRNA from 1 species
CUAUGCGCCUUGCCAGCCCGCUCAGGUGUGCCAGCCGCCGCGGUAAUACGGAGGAUGCGAGCGUUAUCCGGAUUUAUUGGGUUUAAAGGGCGCGUAGGCGGUCCGUUAAGUCAGCGGUAAAAUUGCGGGGCUCAACCCCGUCGAGCCGUUGAAACUGUCAGACUUGAGUUGGCGAGAAGUACGCGGAAUGCGCGGUGUAGCGGUGAAAUGCAUAGAUAUCGCGCAGAACUCCGAUUGCGAAGGCAGCGUACCGGCGCCACACUGACGCUGAGGCACGAAAGCGUGGGAUCGAACAGG